rfam:Mustela putorius furo unplaced genomic scaffold scaffold00315, whole genome shotgun sequence.
GCCGGGCGCGGUGGUGCACGCCGGUAGUCCCAGAUGCUCAGGAGGCUGAAGGAAGAGGAUCGCUUGAGCCCAGGAACUCUGGGCUGUAGUGCGCUAUGCCAAUUGGGUGUCCGCACUAAGUUCUGCAUCAAUAUGGUGACCUCCCAGGAGCGGGGGACCACCAGAUUGCCUAAGGAAUCAGCCCAGGUCGGAAAAGGAGCAGGUCAAAACUCCUGUGCUGAUCAUUAAAGUUAGAAAGAAUAUGAUGUUUAUUUUUUAUAAAUAUAUUCCACAUGCAAAAAUGUAACCAAUAUUUAG